GUAGGUGGCAAGCGUUGUCCGGAUUUAUUGGGCGUAAAGGGGGCGCAGGCGGUUUCUUAAGUCUGAUGUGAAAGCCCACGGCUUAACCGUGGAAGUGCAUUGGAAACUGGGAAACUUGAGUACAGAAGAGGAAAGUGGAACUCCAUGUGUAGCGGUGGAAUGCGUAGAUAUAUGGAAGAACACCAGUGGCGAAGGCGACUUUCUGGUCUGUCACUGACGCUGAGGCCCGAAAGCGUGGGUAGCA
rnacentral:rRNA from 1 species